CACGUAGGCGGAUUGUUAAGUCAGGGGUGAAAUCCUGGAGCUCAACUCCAGAACUGCCUUUGAUACUGGCGAUCUUGAGUUCGGGAGAGGUGAGUGGAACUGCGAGUGUAGAGGUGAAAUUCGUAGAUAUUCGCAGGAACACCAGUGGCGAAGGCGGCUCACUGGCCCGAUACUGACGCUGAGGUGCGAAAGCGUGGGGAGCAAACA
rnacentral:rRNA from 1 species